rnacentral:rRNA from 1 species
UACGUAGGGUGCGAGCGUUGUCCGGAAUUACUGGGCGUAAAGAGCUCGUAGGCGGUUUGUCGCGUCUGCUGUGAAAACUCGGGGCUUAACUCCGGGCCUGCAGUGGGUACGGGUAGACUAGAGUGCGGUAGGGGAGACUGGAAUUCCUGGUGUAGCGGUGAAAUGCGCAGAUAUCAGGAGGAACACCGGUGGCGAAGGCGGGUCUCUGGGCCGUAACUGACGCUGAGGAGCGAAAGCGUGGGGAGCGAACAGG